rnacentral:rRNA from 1 species
AGUUCAAGAGUACGUGAAACUGCUUAGAGGUUAAACCCGAUGAACCUGAAUAUCCAUUAUGGAAAAUUCAUCAUUAAUGAUAAAAUAUGUAAGAAAUAUUUUAGAAAUAGUGUGCAAUUUUUCCAUAUAAGGACAUUGUAAUCUGUUAAUGUAGUAAAUAUUUAUCAUAAGAUUCAUUACACUAAGUUUAUUCAAAUUGGUUAUUUUCGGAUAAUUAACAUAGAAUAAAUGUUUUGGAUUUGAUAAAUCAUUGACAGAUAUAAUUAUAUAAUGUGCUUAAAUUCUUUUGAAUUUUAUCAAUGGUAGAAAAUUUUAUUUUGUAUUUAAUUGAUAUGCACUAUUAUGAUUAACAAUGCGAGAGAUUCAGGAUACCUUCGGGACCCGUCUUGAAACACGGACCAAGGAGUCUAACAUAUGUGCAAGUCAUUGGGUAUUUUUAAUAAAACCCAAUGGCGUAAUUAACUUAACUGCUAAUUUAUGGGAUUAGUUUAUAUUUUGUUAUGGAAUAUUAAUUCAAUCCCGGGGCGUUCUAUAUAGUUAUGUAUAAUAAUAUUUAUAUUAUUUAUGCCUCUAACUUGAGCGUACCUUGAGCAUAUAUGCUGUGACCCGAAAGAUGG